rnacentral:rRNA from 1 species
UACGUAGGGGGCAAGCGUUGUCCGGAAUCAUUGGGCGUAAAGAGCGUGUAGGCGGUCCGUUAAGUCGGCUGUGAAAGUCCAAGGCUCAACCUUGGGAUGCCGGUCGAUACUGCAGGACUAGAGUUCGGAAGAGGCGAGUGGAAUUCCCGGUGUAGCGGUGAAAUGCGCAGAUAUCGGGAGGAACACCUAUGGCGAAGGCAGCUCGCUGGGACGUUACUGACGCUGAGACGCGAAAGCGUGGGGAGCAAACAGG